UGAGGGGGGUGGUGCAGUGUGGAUGAGCAGAAGGAACUCCUCCACAGCAGGGAAUGAGUUUACAUAGAAAAGCAUGAGUGUGUGUGUUCUCCACUGACUUAUACUAGACAGAUAGAUAUUAACUCCUUCUCUGUUGGUCUGUUCAUCUGAUCAUGACUCCUCAGCUCCGCUGCCUGUCUCCUGUUUGAUGGAAAUGAGGAAGAACAAAUAAGGAGCGAUAUGAGAUUGAUUCAGAGCUCACCCUGACUACUACUUUCUGUCUGGACUGCUCAUCAUUAUCACUCACAUUCAGGCUGAUGGACACCCAGGAUCAGACACCUUUAGUGAGGACAGGACUGUUGUCCAGGCUGUCCCACAUGAUGCACUUUGGGAGGAGCAGUGUUAGUCCUGCAGGGUCCAGCGUCUGCAGCCAGGGGUCAGGAGACAACAUGAGGGGCAGGAGCAGGUGGGUUGUACACCUGCAACCAUAUCCAAUCUUUGGAGAGACACUCAGACCAGACACAUGGAUACUACAUCCCCCCAGAAAUCUUUUUAUACACUUGUUAGACACCCUGAAUGAACUUGUGUUGUGGAAUGACCAGUGUUCAUAACGAAAUCUUCACAUUUAAUCAUAAGAAGCUGACCAAUACUGAUACUGAUACUGAGUGUUGAUUAAAAUACAUUUGCUCCUCUUGCAGUGAUGGUCAGUGGCCUCUGGCUGCACAAAACAUCAACAACUCCAACAACAAUGAUGGGUAAGAUGGUGUAUGGAUUCUCUCACACUACUUGAUUAAAUUGAAAUAGAGAUGAUACCAUUAGCCCUAGUAAAAUUCAUUUCCAUGAAAUAUGAUCUUGUGAUAUCUAAGAGUGUACAUGUGUUCAGUUUUUGCUAUCCUGGGUAUCCAUGCAAAUUUGCUAUGCUUAGAAUCAUUCCACUAGUGUCAC